AGAGGUGUGGCUAUUUGGCAAUCUGAUUUAUAGUCAGAAAGUGGGGUAUAUUUUAUCCCCAUCUCUU
rnacentral:tRNA from 2 species